rnacentral:rRNA from 1 species
UACGUAGGGUGCAGGCGUUAAUCGGAAUUACUGGGCGUAAAGCGUGCGCAGGCGGUCUAUUAAGACAGGUGUGAAAUCCCUCGGCCCAACCGAGGAACUGCGCUCUAAACUGUCUUGCUUGAGGACCGAAGGGGACCACGGAAUUCCUGGUGGAGCGGUGAAAUGCGUUGAUAUCAGGAGGAACACCGGCGGCGAAGGCGGUGGUCUGGUCGGUUUCUGACGCUGAGGAGCGAAAGCUAGGGGAGCAAACGGG